rnacentral:rRNA from 1 species
UCGCGGCCUAUCAGCUUGUUGGUGAGGUAACGGCUCACCAAGGCAUCGACGGGUAGCUGGUCUGAGAGGACGAUCAGCCACACUGGGACUGAGACACGGCCCAGACUCCUACGGGAGGCAGCAGCAGGGAAUAUUGCACAAUGGGCGCAAGCCUGAUGCAGCAACGCCGCGUGCGGGAAGAAGGCCCUAGGGUUGUAAACCGCUUUCAGCAGGGAAGAAACUGACGGUACCUGCAGAAGAAGGUGCGGCCAACUACGUGCCAGCAGCCGCGGUGACACGUAGGCACCAAGCGUUGUCCGGAUUUAUUGGGCGUAAAGAGCUCGUAGGCGAUUUGGUAAGUCGGGUGUGAAAACUCUGGGCUCAACCCAGAGAGGCCACCCGAUACUGCUAUGACUUGAGUACGGUAGGGGAGCGGGGAAUUCCUGGUGUAGCGGUGAAAUGCGCAGAUAUCAGGAGGAACACCAGUGGCGAAGGCGCCGCUCUGGGCCGUAACUGACGCUGAGGAGCGAAAGCGUGGGUAGCAAACAGGAUUAGAUACCCUGGUAGUCCACGCCGUAAACGGUGGGCACUAGGUGUGGGGACUUUCAACGGUCUCUGCGCCGAAGCUAACGCAUUAAGUGCCCCGCCUGGGGAGUACGGA